GGAAAUUUGGGGCUGGAGCUCCCUCUACAGGACAAAGGGGACGCUCGGCGCCUCGCCUCCGUGGCCUCUACACCCGGCCGCGCGCCGCGCCCCCUCCGCGCCCUCUUUUUCCUCUCGCAGUCAGCCAGCCAACCUUGCCCAAGUUUGACUUGAAGAAGUUGUAGGGAGUGUUUGGGCGAGUGACACCUCGGGGUAAGAAGGAGAGACACAUUUUUUUGCCCCCUCCCCACGUUAGUAAAGGUACAGUGUGGCCAGAUGCGGGGUGUUUGACCCUCAAAGUGGCGCGUGUGACUAUCUCGCGCGUUCCGGGGAGGUAUAGGAAGCGCGCACACCCCUCGAAGCCACGGAACAAGACACGGCUCAACACUGCACACCUUCGAAGCUCGGCGGCAGCAGAGCGGAGCCCGACAGGACUGGGCCAUGCGGACCCAGCGGCCAGCGCCGCGCCUUGGGAGUUCCCUCCGCGAAGGGGGUGAUCAAGCGCCCCCAGACGUGGAGCCCGCCCAUCCUCGCGGACUUGGACCUGAGGCCGGAACAUUGAAUGACUUUACAAGGAGAGCACUCCGACACCUCAACAGCUCACGCCUCACAAGCUUAGCUGUGGCACCGACUCUACUCCCACUUACCCCCUGUGAAACCCGAGGCAGACAAUUCACUUCUCUGAGCCCUUAUCUCCUCAUCUGCAAAAUGGAAAUAAUGAGGGCGAAGGGGGCAGUUUUUAGGCUGAGAGGAAGCAUGUCCAGGGCUGACACGAGGUAGGUAGGCAGAAGCAAUCUUACUCUUUUUUUCUUUAAUUUAGAGACAGGAUCUCACUCUGCUGCCCAGGCUGGAGUAUUGCCCAGCCUGUUGCCCCAGCUGGUACAAUCAUAGCUCACUGCAACUUCAAACUUCUGGGCUCAAAUGAUCCUCCCGUGUCAGCCUUCUAUUCACCGGAACUACAGGCACACACCACCACGCCCAGCUAUUUUUUUUAUUUUUUAGAGACAGGGUCUCUCUAUGUUGCUCAGGCUGAUCUUGAACUCCUGGCCUCAAGCAAUCCUCCCACCUCAGCCUCCCAAAGCACUGGGAUUACAGGCUUGAUCCUCAGAACCUGGUCAUUUUACUAUUAAAAUUACAUGUCAGAAUCUCCCAUUUCGCUUCUUAAACUCCCAGCAGUAUUCCACUCCACCCCUUUCAUUAGUCAUAAAAGUGAGGUGUCUGCAUUCAGGCAUCCCAGGAUCCUUUGCAACUCCAGCUCAGCUAAGCAAGAGAGGGGAACUUCCCAGGCAGGGGCACAGCAGAGAGGGAGGUGACAGCAGAGGUUAGGUGGCCUCACUACACUGAACAUCACCCAAGAGGAGGCAGGGGAUCUGCUCACAGCCAGAUGGUAUGGAGAAGCAGGCGGGGCUUGAAGAUGCCUGAGUGUGGGUCUCUAGGUCUUUCUCUGGUGGAGACCGUGAAGUAAGGUCAGCUUCUCAGGCCACAUCCCAGGGAUAAUGGUCCUUGCAUGAGCCACCUUCUGUCCCCACUGAUAAAGCAGUAUAUUUAGGUACCAGAGGAGACUUGGCAUAAACCUAGGAGCAGUCCCCAUGCAUCCGUAUUUUCUCUUAUCCCAUAGAACACAUGAGCCCUCAACUGGUCCUAAGUUGACCCCAAUAAGAUAACCUAAUCAAAACAACAACAAUAAAAGAAUCUCAGCUUCUCAGCUGAAAGAGGGAAGAGGAGAUAGUCCUCUUGGCAUCUCUUUCACUUGACUGAGUUCCCAUCUCUUCUCUUCCUCCCAGAACCUCCUCCCUAAGCCCUCCCCUCAUCUCCCUCCUCUCAGGGGUCCCUGGAAUGCCUCCAUCC
rnacentral:lncRNA from 1 species